AUCUAAAUAGCUUAUAAAGAGUAUAGUAUUGAAGAUACUAAGGAAAUAGAAUAUUUUUAGAUA
rnacentral:tRNA from 1 species